AAGGAAUUGACCGGGGACCCGCACAACCGGUGGAAGCAUGUGGUUUAAUUCCGAAGCAAACGCGAAGAACCUUACCAGAUCCUUGACAUCCCUCUGACCGGUCCCGUAAUGGGCCUUUCCUUCGGGACAGAGGAGACAGGUGGUGCAUGGUUGUCGUCGGCUCGUGUCGUGAGAUGUUGGUUCAAGUCCCGCAACGAGCGCAACCCUUGUCCUCAGUAGCCAGCAUUUCGGAUGGCACUCUGGGGAGACCGCCAGGGACAACCUGGAGGAAGAUGGGGAUGACGUCAAAUCAUCAUGCCCCUUAUGAUCUGGGCUACACACGUGCUACAAUGGCAUCAGACAAAGAGAAGCGAGCCCGCGAGGGGAAGCAAAUCUCAAAAACGGUGUCUCAGUUCGGACUGCAGGCUGCAACCCGCCUGCACGAAGCUGGAAUCGCUAGUAAUCGCGGAUCAGCAUGCCGCGGUGAAUACGUUCCCGGGUCUUGUACACACCGCCCGUCACACCAUGGGAGUCAGCAACACCCGAAGUCAGUGGCCCAACCGCAAGGAGGGAGCUGCCGAAGGUGGGGUUGAUAACUGGGGUG
rnacentral:rRNA from 1 species